UAACCAGACUCCUACGGGAGGCAGCAGUGGGGAAUAUUGCACAAUGGGGGAAACCCUGAUGCAGCGACGCCGCGUGAGCGAUGAAGUAUUUCGGUAUGUAAAGCUCUAUCAGCAGGGAAGAAAAUGACGGUACCUGACUAAGAAGCCCCGGCUAACUACGUGCCAGCAGCCGCGGUAAUACGUAGGGGGCAAGCGUUAUCCGGAUUUACUGGGUGUAAAGGGAGCGUAGACGGUCCUGCAAGCCAGAUGUGAAAGCCCGGGGCUCGACCCCGGGACUGCAUUUGGAACUGUAAGGCUAGAGUGUCGGAGAGGCAGGCGGAAUUCCUAGUGUAGCGGUGAAAUGCGUAGAUAUCAGGAGGAACACCGGUGGAGAAGGCGGCUUACUGGACAGUGACUGACGUUGAGGCUCGAAAGCGUGGGGAGCGAACAGGAUUAGAUACCCUAGUAA
rnacentral:rRNA from 1 species